UCAUGUAAAAUGUCCCCCACUCUAUUAUUUUUCAAAUAAUGCUCUUCAUUUUCCUCUGUGACCUCCCAACACAUACUGUUAGCAUUCUGUUUGUUGAGUGGUUUUCACUUUAAAACCAGGCCUUUCCCACAAUGGUCUUUCCUCCUUCAGACUUUCUCGUUGUCACUUUAGGGAAAUGUCCCUAUUACCACACGGAGCUCCUGCGAGUGGUGCAGUCUCCUUUCUCUUGCACCCGGCUGUUCUCCCACGCCUCACCCAUGCAGUCCUUCUAAAGCUGCCCCUGUAACCUCAGGUCUUGUUGAUGCCUCCCUUGUAAGGGUGGUGCUCAGUGUUGGCUUGCUACAGUGUGACUGUUCUCCACUUUGUCUUCCCUGCCUCUCAGUGUCUCUGUUCCAUGUUUCUUCCCUUUCCCUAGCAAGGGUCCCAGGGGCUGCUGCAUUUGGGGUUCAUACUAACUCCAAGAUGGUCACAUCUUACCAUCGUCCAGGUAUCGCUACACUGGAAGAUACAAGAAUGAUGACUUGAACCCAAGUCUUUGGGGGAUGGGAUCAUUCACUACAAGUAUGAAAGCUGGGAUUUUACAGUGUUGGAAUACAUGAAACCAAAUGAUAAUAUUGUAUUGUGGACAGAAACACCCAAAUACAGACAAGUGGCCAAAGAAUGAGGAAGUGAUUUUUUUCUUUUUUCUUGCUCAGCUACUUUCUAAUGACCAGACGGUUAACUAUUUGGAGAAACUGUCAAGAGUAUGCCCUUGCCACUGGGUUUAAACUACAGGGUGUGUAGACGCCAAACAACAUUACAACAUUUGUAGAGAUGUUUGUAUCCAGAAUGAUGCUUUUAGAUGUGUUAUGUGCACAGGUAUUUUUUCUUUGUGUAUGUGCACUUGUGUGAAUAGGGCAGAGGCUGAUGUCUGACGUCUUCCUAAAUCACACUCUGAUCUUGAGACUGAUUGUCCUGUGGGAACACUCCAGUACAAAGUGCUGGGACUUGAACUCCGGCCUCAUACUUCUACAACCUACACUUUACCUCGAUGCCUGGGGAUUCUUGUCUCUGCUGUCUGUUGACUAAACACCACCCUCCCUCUGAUCCCCUGGACAGGGAGGACUGAAGGUGAUCAGUCAUCCCUGCACCGGGAGGGAGGCACAGCUUUCCUCAGACCGUGGUGACUUCACUGCUUCCCGCUCUGUCUCGUCGUCGUCUUUCUUCCCUCUUCAUCCCUCCCCAUUUCCCCACCUCUGCCGGGCUUGAAUCAGCCCUAAGCCUUUCUUCUCAAGGAAUCAUCCUUGAAGAAUUUAAUGGAGUUGUUCACACCGCAGAGCCUGCACAUGCACAGAUGAGCCUCUGUGCUUAAGGAGGGAGAAAGAGGCUCCACCCUGAAUGAAUUCCACAAGAGUGGAUAUUCUCAUCUUCGUUCCCCAUUUCCCGACUUAUUAACUCCUUACAGUUUUGGUUUAGAUGUGGAUAUGAGUUUGUCCUGUCUAAAUGAAAACCGUUGUAAAUUAGCAUGCAGGGAAACGAGCUGCUUCCUUCUGCGCCUCUGUGAGGAGAUUUGGGGUUCUCCGCACGACUCCAUCUUUUAUUUGUUAAAGUUCUAGAGGAGUUUGUUUUAAUCUCCUUGUGGUUGGCAGGACUCAGCAGGGCCCUUCGAAGCUUGAGGAUGAAGUGUAGGCAGUGUGUGGAGGCAGCCAUAGUGCCACCGCAAGCUGAGGGGACAGUCCUCACCGAGGUCACAAACGUAAGUGCUGUGACAGGCUUACAGAGCAUCUUUGCUUCUCCUUGUAGCUCUGCCUGAUACUUCUAAACCGAUCCUUGAAUCUGUUAUUUCUCUCCAUUUAAUAUUUGUCUAAAAAUGAGGUUUUGAGACCCAUGGGAAGAUUCCCAGGUUUUUGUCACAUGAUAUCACUUGUCACCAAGUGUAUGAAGAAACCCAAAGUAUGCCAGGCACCUUACAGCACAUACCUACAUUCUCUGCAAGGAGUGGGAAGCCUGUGGGCUCAGCCAGACCUGAUGCCAUUGUCAGAAGAAAGCUGAGUGUGGUGGCUCAAGCCUGAAUCCCAGCACUUGCCAGGCAGUUUGAAACCAGCCUGGGAGACCAGGUGGUGUGUCCGCGUUAGGCUGUUGAAGGAGACCCUGUCUCUAAAACAAAGACCCUGAAGGAAUGUCUUGUGCACAGUCGAUGAGAACCAUGCAGGCAGUGUUGUUUGAUUGUGCGUAACAUGUGAGCUUUCCAUGCUGUUUGACAGUAGGCCAACCUGGGUGCUUCCCCGGAGCAUGGCAGGACAGCUUCCUCAGAGCCUUGGGCUGAGCCUCCCACUGUCCCUCGUUUUGAGCUCUCACUGAACUCAUUUCCUUCUGUGUUGUAUGAAGGUGCCUGUGCUGCCUUUUCCAGGGUUGAUUAGCUAUGACCUGUGGCUUCAGAGAAAGCGCUGGUGAAGCCAGCGUCGGAAAAGUGUCUUAGUCAGAGGACACCAACAAAUCCAGUUCCCGUGGGCUACUUCUAGACUGAGUCCUGCUAAAGUAUUCAGAAGAAUUAGGUAGAAUGUCAUGUUUGAUUGGCCCUCACGGUGUCUUUGUUUCUUAUGCCUUAUCAAUCUAUCAAUCAAAGGAUGCCCGUGUGCCAUCCAUGUGUCUGAGAGUACGCUUGGUGUGCCUGCAUGAAUUUAUUAGAAGGAACUGGUACCAGUUUCAGUGGGCGUGGCAGUGGCAGAGCCUAGAAGCGUGUGGAUGGAAAGGUCACUCAAUGCUUGGGCAUUGAGGAAUGAACCUUAGUUGGAUUGGGUUAUGAUGUUUAUGGAAGCGUUGCUGUUGAUUUUACAGCUCCUCAUUUACAAAUGCAGCUACUCAGCAGCUAUUCUUUGAACCCCAUCCCCUCCGCCUGUGAAGCAAAGGGUGGCCCGGUGACUUGGGAGUUGGGCCCGGGUGCUCUGUGACGUGGGAAUGCCUGUGUUCUGAUACCAUCCAGAAGCCCGCACUCUGUGGCACUUACACUGGGACCUUUCUGGCCAUAAAGAACUGAAGAAUGGGUGUUACAGGGUUACGAAUUGUGGUUAAGGUGUCUUAUUUUCAUCAGAAGGAAUAAUGGAUGACAUAAAAGUCCACAUACUACUGAUCUUUAUGCAGAGAACAAAAAUGUUUAUUGGAGAGUAAUACUCGAAUACUUCCAUGUAUGUUUUAGUUUUGAGACAGAAUCUCACUGUUGGGCCCUGACCUGCCUGGCUUUCACUACGUAGACCAGUCUGGCUUCAGACUCCCAGAGAACCAUCUGCCUUUGCCUCACAAAUGCCUCCUUGCCUGUCUGCUUGCCCAUGCUUUAGGUGAACUUUUAUCCAACAAAACGAGCCAACACAUGCAUUUUCUUCUCAAUGUCACCUGUGGACUCAGUGUUCUGCAUGCCACUGUGGUGUAGAAGGAAACGUUAUCAGUUUAUUACUAUUGUGGAAUAAAACCUGAAGAACAAAUUAUAGAUUCCCCUUCUUUCUUCCUUCCAGGAGAAGCAUAAGCAAGAAUUGGAAGACAUGAGGAAGGCUGGGCACGAGGCGCUGAGCAUUAUUGUGGAUGAGUAUAAGGUGCAGGAAUACUCAGGAGGCUAAGGCAGAACAAUUGUUGAGUUCCAGGACAGGCUGAAUUCCAUAGUGAACUGAGCCGCAACUUGGACUACUUACUGAAAUUCUGUAUCAGAAUAAAUGUACAAAUCAGCAAGCCAACCAGUCAACCAACCAGUCAACCUACUAAUUGACCAAACAACCAACUAACUAACCCACCAACUGAUCAACCAGUGAGUCAGCCAACCAACGAACCAGUCAGCCAGCCAACCAGUCCACCAAUUGAUCAACUAAACAACCAGCCAGCCAACCAAUCCACCCACCAAUUGACUAAACCAAACAACCAGCCAGCCA